GACGAACGCUGGCGGCGUGCCUAAUACAUGCAAGUAGAACGCUGAAGAGAGGAGCUUGCUCUUCUUGGAUGAGUUGCGAACGGGUGAGUAACGCGUAGGUAACCUGCCUGGUAGCGGGGGAUAACUAUUGGAAACGAUAGCUAAUACCGCAUAAAAUUGAUUAUUGCAUGAUAAUUAAUUGAAAGAUGCAAUUGCAUCACUACCAGAUGGACCUGCGUUGUAUUAGCUAGUUGGUGAGGUAACGGCUCACCAAGGCGACGAUACAUAGCCGACCUGAGAGGGUGAUCGGCCACACUGGGACUGAGACACGGCCCAGACUCCUACGGGAGGCAGCAGUAGGGAAUCUUCGGCAAUGGGGGGAACCCUGACCGAGCAACGCCGCGUGAGUGAAGAAGGUUUUCGGAUCGUAAAGC
rnacentral:rRNA from 1 species